GUAUAAGCAAUUAUACCGUGAAACUGCGAAUGGCUCAUUAAAUCAGUUAUCGUUUAUUUGAUAAUACCUUACUACUUGGAUAACCGUGGUAAUUCUAGAGCUAAUACAUGCUGAAAAUCCCGACUUCGGAAGGGAUGUGUUUAUUAGAUAAAAAACCAAUGCCCUUCGGGGCUUUUUGGUGAUUCAUGAUAACUUUACGGAUCGCAUAGCCUUGCGCUGGCGACGGUUCAUUCAAAUUUCUGCCCUAUCAACUUUCGAUGGUAAGGUAUUGGCUUACCAUGGUUUCAACGGGUAACGGGGAAUUAGGGUUCGAUUCCGGAGAGGGAGCCUGAGAAACGGCUACCACAUCCAAGGAAGGCAGCAGGCGCGCAAAUUACCCAAUCCCGACACGGGGAGGUAGUGACAAUAAAUACUGAUACAGGGCUCUUUUGGGUCUUGUAAUUGGAAUGAGUACAAUUUAAACCUCUUAACGAGGAACAAUUGGAGGGCAAGUCUGGUGCCAGCAGCCGCGGUAAUUCCAGCUCCAAUAGCGUAUAUUAAAGUUGUUGCAGUUAAAAAGCUCGUAGUUGAAACUUGGGCCUGGCUGGCGGGUCCGCCUCACCGCGUGCACUCGUCCGGCCGGGCCUUCCUUCUGAAGAACCUCAUGCCCUUCACUGGGCGUGCUGGGGAAUCAGGACUUUUACUUUGAAAAAAUUAGAGUGUUCAAAGCAGGCCUUUGCUCGAAUACGUUAGCAUGGAAUAAUAAAAUAGGGCGUGCGUUUCUAUUUUGUUGGUUUCUAGAGACGCCGCAAUGAUUAACAGGAACAGUCGGGGGCAUCAGUAUUCAGUUGUCAGAGGUGAAAUUCUUGGAUUUACUGAAGACUAACUACUGCGAAAGCAUUUGCCAAGGAUGUUUUCAUUAAUCAGUGAACGAAAGUUAGGGGAUCGAAGACGAUCAGAUACCGUCGUAGUCUUAACCGUAAACUAUGCCGACUAGGGAUCGGGCGAUGUUCUUUUUCUGACUCGCUCGGCACCUUACGAGAAAUCAAAGU
rnacentral:rRNA from 1 species